UACGGGGGGGGCAAGCGUUGUUCGGAAUUACUGGGCGUAAAGGGCUUGUAGGCGGCCAACUAAGUCAUACGUGAAAUCCCUCGGCUUAACCGGGGAACUGCGUCUGAUACUGGAUGGCUUGAGAUUGGGAGAGGGAUGCGGAAUUCCAGGUGUAGCGGUGAAAUGCGCAGAUAUCAGGAGGAACACCGGUGGCGAAGGCGGGUCUCUGGGCAACAACUGACGCUGAGGAGCGAAAGCGUGGGGAGCGAACAGG
rnacentral:rRNA from 1 species